UGAUACCUGCAUCAUGCUGGUAUCAAAUUUACACCCGAUUAGUUAUUGUGCAGUAAGGCACAUGUAAACGCCUUACUGUGCAGUAACACUGCGUGUGCA